rnacentral:pre_miRNA from 4 species
UCCCGUGGAUGAGCAAAGAAAGUAGUUUCUUGAGAUGGAAUCCACUCCUAGUGAAGAUGCUGUGAA